AACCAGGUAAAUUCCCAAGGGCCUGCCAGCCAGCCUGGUUCUGCAGAACAGAAAGCGAGCAGCUUACGGAGGGGGCUCCUGACGGCUCAGGAGCUGGCCUUCUGGCUGGAAGCUCGUGCGGCCGCGAGGCUGCUCCCCGCGUCUGUGCUUCGGCGUCCUCGUCUGCGCACUGGGGAUGCUGCGGGGAGGUCCGGUGGCACGCCGGUCCCAGCCCAGCCGUCUAGAGCAGCGCCUGCGCCCACAGCGCUCAGUCACAGGCCGUCGUCGUUUUUGCUGACUAGGUGUUUUCUCCACCCUCCUCUGAAUCUCUCUUUUCCCUUCUCUCUUCCAGGUUUUUCUCAUCCUUAUUUGCCCUGCGGAACCUUCGAGAACAUUACAGACCAACUGUCGUUUCAGGGUGGAAAGUUCAGUGCCCCCCCACCCCCCCGCCUACUGCUAUCCCAGGAAUUUUGGACCAGUCCUCGGCAUCCUGAGCAACAAAACAAAGGCCAAAAAGCUGCCAUUUCCUUCUGCUGUGGGUUGAACCGUGUCCUCCAAGAAGAUGCGUUCCAGUCCUAACCUCCACGCCACCUGUGAGUGUGACCUUCUUUAGAAAUUGGGCCUUUGCUGAUGUAAUCACGCUCAGGUGAGGUCAUACUAGAUGAGAGUAGCCCCUCAUCGAGUGAUGGGUUUCAUAAGAAGAGGGAAAUUUGGACAUAGAUACAGACACACAAGGAGACUGUCAUGUGACAAUGGAGACGGAGAUUGGUGGGAUGCUGCCACAAGAUGAGGAAUGCCAAGGAUUUCUGGCAACCACCAGAAGCUGGAAGGCAAGGAAGAGUCCUGUCUGAGAGCUCACUGAGGGAGCGGGGCCCUGCAGACACCUUAAAUUGGGACUGCAUGCCCCCAGCGUGGCGAGAGAAUACAUUUCCAUUGUUUUGGCCCCCUGGUUUGUGGCAGCCCUAGGCAACUACCACAGGGGAACUACCUUCCCCUGAACUUGCACCUGGAGCCUGGGUCUCUAAUACGAUGUUUGCCUUCUGAGGGUUUAUGGAUACCCAUGCUUAUUUCUGAGAUAGGCAAGUUGGAUCAUGUAGAUGACUUCUUACCUCAUGGGAUGCACAGAAUUCCAGAGAAAUGUCAGCAGCCAAAAGCCAAAGUCUCAGU
rnacentral:lncRNA from 1 species